GCGGCCGCCAUCUUGCUUGCG
rnacentral:miRNA from 1 species